GUAGCCAGUCGUGGUGGCUGGUGCUUGGGGAAGGACAAACACCAGAGGAGGUUCCCGAUACAACCUUGAGAUCUCAUCUGUCUGUGUUAUCACCAGCC